rnacentral:rRNA from 1 species
UACAGAGGUCUCAAGCGUUGUUCGGAUUCAUUGGGCGUAAAGGGUGUGUAGGUGGCCUGCUAAGUCAGACGUGAAAUCCCUCAGCUUAACUGGGGAACUGCGUCUGAGACUGGCAGGCUUGAGGACAGGAGAGGAACGCGGAAUUCCAGGUGUAGCGGUGAAAUGCGUAGAUAUCUGGAGGAACACCGGUGGCGAAGGCGGCGUUCUGGACUGUUUCUGACACUGAAAAACGAAAGCCAGGGGAGCAAACGGG